rnacentral:miRNA from 1 species
UGCCCUCCUUUCUUCCCUC